rnacentral:lncRNA from 1 species
UAAAAAGGCACUUCCAGCAAAGUCAGGCAGCAAAGUCGGCUCUUGGAAAAGCUGGCCUCCUGUUUUGUAGACAGAGAGUUGUCGUGGUCUCCUUGGAGCUGCAUCCUGGCUUUGUAUGUGCAUUUCUAGGUCUCCCUUGAAACAAGCAUGAUGCAUCAGAGGAAAGCAACAAAAGACGCUGAGCUGCCUGUGGAUUUUAACAAGUGACAAGCUCAGUGCUGGGAACAGCCGAAAAGCCUGGAGACGUACAUGCCUCGGUGUAGUCCCUGGUGCUACGCAUUGCAACAGCUCCUUGAACGUCAGCCGGAGAAUUCCUUACAGUCCUUUUCAUAUUAUUGGAGACCAUCCUACCAAGUGGAAGAGCUCACCCACCAACCGAGAACAUAACGGAAAAAGAAGUCAGCUAUAGUGAGUCCGUAACAAGAUCUACAAGGUUUACCUACUACCCUGUGGCGAGAUGAUUGCACACAAUUGGGGAAGUGAUGCUGUCUUGUGGGCUAGUGAGGAUAAGGAUAAAAUCUUUAGGAGAUAGUAAAUCACAGCAGCUACCCAAACUGUGACUUAAGCAGAAAUAAUAGCACAGUAAAUGACUUCAGUUCUGCAACACAGAUCCAACUAGUAAUAGAAAGAGGGACUGCAUCAAAACUUUAUAUAACUGAACUCUUAAGCAGAUCUUACUGUAAUUGCCAUGUGUAUGUGCUUUUCUUUUAAAAUUAGGUAUGAAAAAAUAAUGAUGUGAGUGUUGUGUUGCUUCUGCAUAUCAAAUCCUUUUAAAAAUUAUUCAUUG